GUGUUGGUGGACCGAGGAGAUCAAGCGGGGUGCAAAGAGCUGCUGGAUCGAGACCGUUGUGUCUGAAAGACCGUACAAGAAGCCAAUGUCCAACAGUGGACGUCCAUCAGCUGGAUAAAUAUAUUUCAGCGUGAAGAUCGCAACUUCAACAGCAAUGCAAUCAUACGACAGCUCUUUGAAAUGCUCAAGUAUUUCAUAAAACAUGGCAACUGUGAAAAAGACGUGCCAGUUUUAGAUCCUUUCCAUUUUGAUUAUUCAGAUAUAGAAUUUUCUUCACCUGCAAAUAUAUUGAGAUUACAAGCUGGUUUUGCUAAUGGAGUUUUGAUUGGAUUUGGUGAUUAUGAACUACUGAAAACACAGUUUACAAGAGAAGACAUUGCCGCAGAAUUGUGUUUACAUUUUCCGUCUAUUUUAUUCAAAUCAGGGCACUAUGAAAUGCAAGGCGAUAUCUACGACUCUAUACCUAUCACUGGAAUGGGAAAAUUCGA